rnacentral:rRNA from 1 species
GACGAACGCUGGCGGCGUGCUUAACACAUGCAAGUCGAACGGAAAGGCCCUGCUUUUGUGGGGUGCUCGAGUGGCGAACGGGUGAGUAACACGUGAGUAACCUGCCCUUGACUUUGGGAUAACUUCAGGAAACUGGGGCUAAUACCGGAUAGGAGCUCCUGCUGCAUGGUGGGGGUUGGAAAGUUUCGGCGGUUGGGGAUUGACUCGCGGCUUAUCAGCUUGUUGGUGGGGUAGUGGCUUACCAAGGCUUUGACGGGUAGCCGGCCUGAGAGGGUGACCGGCCACAUUGGGACUGAGGUACGGCCCAGACUCCUACGGGAGGCAGCAGUGGGGAAUAUUGCACAAUGGGCGGAAGCCUGAUGCAGCAACGCCGCGUGCAGGAUGACGGCCUUCGGGUUGUAAACCGCUUUCGCCUGUGACGAAGCGUGAGUGACGGUAAUGGGUAAAGAAGCACCGGCUAACUACGUG